AAUUGGGCCUAAUGAAGGCUUAAGGCCCACUAUCCAAGAAAAUUGAAAUAACCAAUGGUCCAUCCUCCUCCCCACCUUCACGCUUAACAAAAUGCAGAGGGAGAGAAAGAACAGCCUGGUUCCGAAGAACCGAGUCGCUCCGGUUUCCUCACCGGCGGCGGCGCCUCCACACGGUGAGGCCUCCCACGCUAUCUCCUAACCUAACCGACAUAAACACUCCACCUAACCAAAUCAUAAUCAAACGCAAUGUGAAUCUUCAACGGAAAAAAUCUAGUGACGAAUGAAAAACGUAAACGGACAGUGAUCGCGAUUCACAUCACAACAGAUGAACUAACAACGUAGAAACUAGAAAUUCCUACCUGCGAUGGCGACAUAUCGGCGGAUCGAAGCUUAGAAUGUUCAUGGAAUUGGUGUGGAGUUAUUGUGAGUUAAAUAGUGGUGGUGCAUGGAGCAGAAUGGUUGCAGGAACUGGAGAAAGGUGACGAAGAUGGAAGCUCGAGAGCAAAUUAUGCAGGUGGAGGUGCGAUUCGGUUACGAUCCAGGAAAAGAGGAGAAGAAGUUUUGCCGAAAAGAGAUGGAAGAAGAGUUUGUUAGCUUGUGAUUCUGGAAGAAAGAAAAAUGGAAGAAGAACUUCAAUGUGAGCUUAUGGAUUUAAAUCAAAUUGAUUGGAUGAGUUUGAAGUUUUGAUUUGGUUUGCCGUUUCUGUUUUGAUGCUGAAUUUCUGUUUCCGUUUCAACUUGUUUUGUAUUAUGCACUACUGCGUUUUGGCCUUGCCGUUUCAGCCUUAAAAUCUUGCAUUUCCGUUUCC